rnacentral:misc_RNA from 1 species
UAUAAUCACCGAGUUCCCUCUGUG